rnacentral:rRNA from 1 species
GAUGAACGCUGGCGGCGUGCCUAAUACAUGCAAGUCGAGCGAACGGACGAGAAGCUUGCUUCUCUGAUGUUAGCGGCGGACGGGUGAGUAACACGUGGAUAACCUACCUAUAAGACUGGGAUAACUUCGGGAAACCGGAGCUAAUACCGGAUAAUAUUUUGAACCGCAUGGUUCAAAAGUGAAAGACGGUCUUGCUGUCACUUAUAGAUGGAUCCGCGCUGCAUUAGCUAGUUGGUAAGGUAACGGCUUACCAAGGCAACGAUGCAUAGCCGACCUGAGAGGGUGAUCGGCCACACUGGAACUGAGACACGGUCCAGACUCCUACGGGAGGCAGCAGUAGGGAAUCUUCCGCAAUGGGCGAGAGCCUGACGGAGCAACGCCGCGUGAGUGAUGAAGGUCUUCGGAUCGUAAAACUAUGUUAUUAGGGAAGAACAUAUGUGUAAGUAACUGUGCACAUCUUGACGGUACCUAAUCAGAAAGCCACGGCUAACUACGUG